rnacentral:lncRNA from 1 species
UUCAUUACACAAUCACUGUUUUCAUCCUGUCUUCUUUACAGCCCCCAUCUUUUCAUACCACUAACCUUUAACCUUUUCAUCCGCUCUUUCUUUCGUGUUACCAUCCUCCUCUCUUUCUGAGAUCAAUCAUUGUUAAUUAAUAUUCCAACUCUCGCCUGCUCUCUGUCACUCUCUUCCCCUCACUCUCUUUCUCUCGCUCCCUCUAGCUGGCCAGACCUCCCACAUCCAGACUAGACCCCUCCCCUCAGAGGCCAUUCAAAGCUGCAGGUAAACGCCCUUCUGUCCCCAUGGUCGACCGAAGCAAGAAGCCUGGACAGCCCGCUCCCACCAAGAAACAACAUCACACAAACACCAAAACAACUCCUACAAGUAACUAUGCCAACUGUCUGUUGUCCUGUUGAUUUAGCCUCCUAGUCUGUUUAUUCAGGUCAAGUCUUUUCAAUUCAAUGAAAUAUGAAUCCCCAAGGGGCAAUUAGAAAGGCAUUGUCAAUGUGUUGAGAACCCCUUAUGCUAUAUACUAAAGUUGCUUUGCAAAGACAAAGAAAUGUAAACUACGGUACGGACAGAUUGCCACAAUUAUGGCUACUGUUGACUAGCAGGUUGAGAAUGCAAUGUUUUGCCUAACUUCUGAUUUUCUUGUCUGUUUGGUGACUACCCACGGUGUCCAGGAGAGUGCAGUCCAUUCAGCUCUCCCCAGCCCGCCAUAGUGAAGCCACCUCAACUAAAGGGCCCAAAGCCACCAGACUAUAGACCCAGCUCCAGUAAACCUCCUUCAAUGGUCCCCAACACAAUGCCAGGCACAGAGAAGGUGAGCAGAUCAAUCAAACACCCUUUUUACAUCAGUAGAUUUACACCAGCAGAGCAUUUAUGCAAUCCAUACCAGCCAUAAUACUCUUCCAACGUUAUUUACAUAUCAACAUACAAUAUUAUACAUAUAAUAUAUUUAUAUUAUACAUGUAAUAUACUCCUACGUUUUAAUGAGAAUGAUCAAGUGUAUUGUCGUGUCUUUACUAUCAUUAACUGAAGACUGAUAGUUUUAUCAAAGAUUCUCUGUAAUUUGUUAUUACGCGAUUAGACUGAUUAAUCAUGUAACCGUAAUUACUAGGAAGUCUGGGCACCAAGGAAAAAUAUUCAGAUUUCUGCACAAACCCAGUCUUCACUAUGAGUCAUCCAUACAUCAAUUGUCUUAAAUCAUUUAUUUAUUACUAACUAAGUAAUCACCUGGGGCGGCAGGGUAGCCUAGUGGUUAGAUUGUUGGACUAGUAACCAAAAGGUUGCAAGUUCAAAUCCCCGAGCUGUGGGGUACAAAUCUGUUGUUCUGCCCCUGAACAGGCAGUUAACCCACUGUUCCUAGGCUGUCAUUGAAAAUAAGAAUUGGUUCUUAACUGACUUGCCUAGUUAAAAAAAAAAAAAAAAUCCACAGAAAUGCACAAACAAACAAGGUAAAUGUGAUGAUAGGAGAAUGUGCCCUAGUGGGCUAAACCAGCAUGGUGGCUUGUUAGACAAAAGGGAAGUGGGGGUCGACUAACAAGUCACUACAGAGUGAUAAUUAUAACAAUUGAAAUGCUAAUCCUUUGCACAUGAACACUCAUUUGGGAACAAUUGCAAUCAAUAAUCAAUAAUUCCAGUCUUGAUCGCUGGUGAAAAGUUCAUUUCUUUUGUAGAAUUGUCCGUCUCUCCCUCUCUCUCUCAGUUGUGGUUAGAGGGGAUUGUUCACAGUGACAUUCGUUAUAGAAUGGAUGUUUCGGCAGUUGUCGUUCUUCGCGUUCAAUGAUACCCGAAUUCCUAGAUGCAGACUAAUAAUUAAUAUCAAACACUCGUUCUUAUUCUGUCGGUAUCGAUAGUCUAAGAGUUUAACCAUGUGGUAUGGUUAAAAGAUUCAGCAAUGGUAUACAACCUUUGUCUUCCUAAUGGAGAAAAACAUGGUCUGCAACCUUCAGCCAUCUCGUAAUUGAGGUAAGCUCG